GCGCAGCAGUCGAGAAUUUUUCUCAAUGGGGGCAACCCUGAAGGAGCGACGCCGCGUGGAGGAUGAAGGCUUUCGGGUUGUAAACUCCUGUCAUUUGAGAACAAGUGGCCGAAAUUAACUACUUCGGCCUUGAUAGUAUCAGGAGAGGAAGGGACGGCUAACUCUGUGCCAGCAGCCGCGGUAAUACAGAGGUCCCGAGCGUUGUUCGGAUUCAUUGGGCGUAAAGGGUGCGUAGGUGGCGCCGUAAGUGGGGUGUGAAAUCCCGGGGCUUAACCCCGGGACUGCAUUCCAUACUGCGGUGCUUGAGGACUGGAGAGGAGACUGGAAUUUACGGUGUAGCAGUGAAAUCGCGUAGAGAUACGG
rnacentral:rRNA from 1 species